rnacentral:ncRNA from 1 species
UAUACAUGGGGAUUGAAAGGGGAAUCCCCUUUUCCGCAGUAAGGAGGGUGCUCAGGAUGCAUUAAUUGAUGCAAGGCAUCCGUCGAAGGGAAC